rnacentral:rRNA from 1 species
AGGGUUCGAUUCCGGAGAGGGAGCCUGAGAAAUGGCUACCACAUCCAAGGGAGGCAACAGGCGCGAAAAUUACCCAAUCCAGACACUGGGAGGUGGCUACGAAAAAUACUGGGUCGUUUCCCUACGGGAUGCGACACCGGAAUGAGCACAAUUUAAGACAUUUGUCGAGUAACAACUGGAGGGCAAGUCUGGUGCCAGCAGCCGCGGUAAUUCCAGCUCCAGCAGCGAGUGUGAAUGUUGCUGCAGUUAAAACGCUCGUAGUUGAAUGAUGCGCGCCGGGCCACGGAGUGGAUCGCCCCUGCCAGCAAACUGGAGGCAGCGAGACGACUGGCCAGACUCAGUCUGCGUCGGCGCUCGCGUGCAGCCAGUGGCAGGGCGCGCUGUCCACCACCAUGUGGCUCCGCGCGGAUUAUCGUGAGAGUGCUGCAUGGCCUUCGCUGGCUGUGCAGCGCGUCUUGCGGAUUGUGCCUUGAGUAAAUCAGAGUGCUCAGAGCAGGCAGCCUGCCUGAAUGUAAUAGCAUGGAACGAACAAAUGUGAUUGUACGUGUCGCGCUGGGGCCGGCGCGCGCUGGCUCUGUCGGCUCGCAGUCCGGCCCCCGCACACAGCACCAACCACCAGGACGGAUGUUGGUUUCCGUCGUGGGGUGAUGAUUGAGAGGGGCGGUUGGGGGCAUUAGUAUUUGGCCGCGAGAGGUGAAAUUCUUGGACCGGCCAAGGACUAACAAAUGCAAAAGCAUUUGCCAAGACCGUUCCCGUUGAUCAAGAGCGAUAGUGAGAGGUUCGAAGACGAUCAGAUACCGUCCUAGUUCUCACCGUAAACGAUGCCAACCCGGGAUCAGUUUUGA